rnacentral:rRNA from 1 species
AACAAACGCUGGCGGCGUGCCUAAUACAUGCAAGUCGAACGGGGAAAGCUUUCGGGUGAGUACUAGUGGCGCACGGGUAAGUAACGCGUGGAUAAUCUGCCCUCGAAUGGGGAAUAACUAGUCGAAAGAUUAGCUAAUACCGCAUAAGACCACGACUACUGAGGUAGUUGGGGUCAAAGGAGCAAUUCGUUUGAGGAUGAGUCCGCGUAAGAUUAGCUAGUUGGUGAGGUAAUGGCUCACCAAGGCGAUGAUCUUUAACUGGUCUGAGAGGAUGACCAGUCACACUGGAACUGAGACACGGUCCAGACUCCUACGGGAGGCAGCAGUAGGGAAUAUUGGACAAUGGGGGCAACCCUGAUCCAGCGACGCCGCGUGAGCGAUGAAGGCCUUUGGGUCGUAAAGCUCUGUUGUAAGGGAAAAAGUUCUGAUUGUACCUUACGAGAAAGGAUCGGCUAACUUCGUGCCAGCCGCCGCGGUAA